CGGGGCGUGAGAGGGGCAGCGGGUGGGGAGAGGAAGGAGGAACUGGAGGCUGCGGUGUGGGCACGUGUUCUCUCAGCAGCUGUCCUGCUCUCCUGGCUGCGCAGCAGGCUCCUCUCGUCUCCAAGGAGAUGUACCAGCUAGUCUCGAAAGACUGAAAGCCCUAGAAGAGCGGCAGGCCUGGUUGCCCAUCCAUGGGGAAGCAUUGCUGCCUCAGCAUCCCAGAUGCUUCAUCAACGUGACAGAAGCAGCUCCACCAACCACCUGGAAGGGCUUCAUGGCCACAGCCAGAGAUCUCCCUGAGGCUCCCUGAAGAGCUUGCCCAGCUCUGGAGCCCUCCAUAUGCCAGAGCACUCGAACACGAGAUGAGAACAGCUGUGCUGACAGUUUUGUGCCGUUGCUGCCCUGCUCUGCAUCCCGUCCCUCCUAUUCUCCUCUGCUGGGCAGUGUGACCUUGCGGGUGGUGCCCUAGUUUAGAGGUGGAGCUGGCUGGGACAGGGAAGAGGAGAGGAGAGCUGGCAAGGUGCAGCCGGCUGCUGUAAUGCACCCCGUUGCCUUGGGGGAAAGCUUUGAAGGAGAAGCUAGCAAGCUAGCAGUGGGGCCAACUGUCUUGUUUGGGGCUGAGGUCUCAGCUGGGCUCCUGAAAUGUUCCUGGAAUAGCUGAUAGCAGUAACAAGAGGCAGCUCUGGAAAGCGCUGCUGAAUUCCCAAUAAAAUAU